UCUGGCGGGUGGAGGGGAGCGCAGCCGGCGGGGCCUCCCGCCUGCCUGAGGGGCGCUUUUCACUCUGCGCGGGCCCUUCCCGUUAGACCCCGCUGAACUGCAGCAAAAUCUGCCAGUCAUGGCAAAUUACAUGAAUGAUUCUGUGGAGGCUAAACCAAGAUUGCUGGACUCAUUUUCAUGCAUGGCUAAACACAGAAUUGAACCCCAUGCUCCAAAAGUGAAAGCACAUCAAGAGGAAGAAAACAUUGUCACUGAGUCUGAAUAUGACAAGGAUAUACAAUGAACUCCCAGGGAGAACAAAGUCUCUGGAGAGAAGCUGAACCAUUUGCAUCCUUGUUCACUGUGGAAGAUGCGGUGGGCUGACCCUGGCCGGACACCAGGUGCCCACCAGAGCUGCCCUGUCGCUGCCCUUCUCAGCCGGGCAGGGGGGAGAAGAAAUAACAAAAAUAACAAAAGGCUCAUGGGUCAAGGUAAGGAUGGGCAGAGCACUCACCAAUUACCAUCACGGGCAAAACAGACUCGACUUGGGGAAAUAUGUUUAAUUUACUGCCAGUCAUA